AUUGAACGCUGGCGGCAGGCCUAACACAUGCAAGUCGAACGGUAGCACAGAGAGCUUGCUCUCGGGUGACGAGUGGCGGACGGGUGAGUAAUGUCUGGGAAACUGCCCGAUGGAGGGGGAUAACUACUGGAAACGGUAGCUAAUACCGCAUAACGUCGCAAGACCAAAGUGGGGGACCUUCGGGCCUCACACCAUCGGAUGUGCCCAGAUGGGAUUAGCUAGUAGGUGGGGUAAUGGCUCACCUAGGCGACGAUCCCUAGCUGGUCUGAGAGGAUGACCAGCCGAACUGGAACUGAGACACGGUCCAGACUCCUACGGGAGGCAGCAGUGGGGAAUAUUGCACAAUGGGCGCAAGCCUGAUGCAGCCAUGCCGCGUGUAUGAAGAAGGCCUUCGGGUUGUAAAGUACUUUCAGCGGGGAGGAAGGCGGUGGAGUUAAUAGCUUCACCGAUUGACGUUACCCGCAGAAGAAGCACCGGCUAACUCCGUGCCAGCAGCCGCCGCCG
rnacentral:rRNA from 1 species